AUAUCAAUAAGCGGAGGAAAAGAAACUAACAAGGAUUCCCCUAGUAACGGCGAGUGAACCGGGAAGAGCUCAAAUUUGAAAUCUGGCAGUCUUCGAUUGUCCGAGUUGUAAUCUAUAGAAGCGUUUUCCGUGCUGAACUGUGUAUAAGUCCCUUGGAACAGGGUAUCAAAGAGGGUGACAAUCCCGUACUUUACACAAUCAUCAGUGCUCUGUGAUACGUUCUCUACGAGUCGAGUUGUUUGGGAAUGCAGCUCAAAAUGGGUGGUAAAUUCCAUCUAAAGCUAAAUAUUGGCGAGAGACCGAUAGCGAACAAGUACCGUGAGGGAAAGAUGAAAAGCACUUUGGAAAGAGAGUUAAACAGUAC
rnacentral:rRNA from 1 species